CGCUUGCUCCUCCGGGCGCCCCCCCAACGGACGCCAGGACGGGCGGGCCUCCGCCGCCCGCCGAUCCACCGGGCUCCGGCGCCACCCGCCGAGCACGCCCCUCGCCUACCCCGGGGCUGCUUCACCACCGAACGCCGCCACUUCACCGGGCAGCGCCGCCCAACUGCCGCCUAUGACAAACGCCCUCCAUGCCGCCCCACCCUCCCACCGCUCCAUCCUUGUGUUCUCUCACCGAACGCCCUCCCGACGACCACUUCUCCACCAGCAGCGCCACCCCGCUCCUCAGCUGCACCUCCACCAGCGAAUGGCCGCUUCGAUCAACAUCGGCAGUUUCACGGCGGGCUGUUCUGUGGUAGGAGGAUUCGCGGCGUGCUAGGUGGUCUCGGUGUCGAUGCCAUCACGGGUUGCCUCCACUCCCCCGCCGUCGCCGCUCAACUCGGUCUCCGUCGGCGCCGCUCAAUUCGGCCUCUGUUGCCGCUCUCCGAUCCUCCUGCUUCGACCCCUCACCGGUUCUGACGAGAAGAAGUAGAGCUGGGAGGAUGCGGAGUGAUGUGGUGAGGAGCAACAGUUGCAGAGCAUUAGCACUGCGGCAACACACUUCUAUGGUGGUGUAGUGCUUUCACGGACGAGGAAAAGAACGCAUAUACAAGCUCAUAUAUUUGUUAUCUUCUUUCCUGAAUCAUGAUUCCUGUUCUGGAACUACUUCCAUGUCCAAUACUUUGGUGUCCGACCUUGGUAUUGGUUAUCCAUUUCCUUUCUGAACACAUGAGCUUUGGUAUGGAUCUUGGGAGCAAGCCAUCCUCAGUUUGCUUCCAGUGGAGUAGGUAUGGGAAGAAGUGAGCUGAAUCAUCUAUAGAUUAAAGCUAUGCUAUCUGAAUAGUUUAGUUAAAUUAUGUCUUCUUGACUUGCUCUUUAUGUGUUUGCCAAUGGCGGCAGUGGCGGGGAAGUAGGGGAAUAUUAGGUCCUACCACACUAAGGAGCACAUGUCUGUAGGGAAGGAGUUUAUCAAGGAUCUGUGAGCCAAUAAAUAAUACGGAGACGUAUGAUAUCAAUAUGGGACCCAGCCCAGUUUUGGUUUAACACCUUUUGUUAGGAGCUCUUUUGGUGCAGGAAUAAUCAACUAAGAUGACAUUAGUAGUAUAUGUCAACGUACAAGAGUUUGUGAUGACCAAAUAUGAGAUUUCUGGUGCUUAGGUGCGGGUGCCGUCGAUACUCCUAUGCUUCCCAACGGACUCCGACGUCCUGGUCUGAUAGCAGAGAAGCCAAAUCAUGGCUAGUUCGUACCAACACCAAUAGUACUCCGGCAAUCUGGGAUAUUAGUUACUAAAGAAAAUGGUUUGAGGUCAAGAGUUGAAAGCCUGAAGCCAGAUGUUCCUAUGAUGACCUACACAACUCUUGAGAAACAAAAUCAACACAUUAUGUGCCUGCAAGAUUGAAGAUCGUACAUAUAUUUAGUUUGCUCCAGGAUCCUAUAGCAGUGCAUUACUCCAUGCAGUUCCUUUAUCAUCCAUUUUAUUAUUCAUAUCUCUAUAUGGUUGUUAUAUAUAGAUGCUAUUACAGGGAUGUAGCACUAUAUUUUCCAGCCAUUGUUGUAAACAAAACACCCUCUGUAUUGAUACAUAUGUUUUUUUUCUUUUAGUUAUCUCUUUUCAGAGUGGACGAGGUUUCUACAUCAAAGAAAUUAUUUUUAGAUCGUCCUUUUGGUUUCAAAGAAUUCAGAAUAAGUUCCUACACGAGCUGUUACUGGAUAAAUCAUGUACGACACCAUGCUUGCACCCUUAUCCCUGGAGUAUUUGCAGUUGUAUUCUUGGCUGUUCGUUGCACAAGAUGUUAUUACAUGUUGGCAUAGACAUGCAUUGCCAGUCGGAUAAGUUGACUGCAGCUACCCUCGAAGCUGCUCUUUGCAUGUAAAGGAAGCUCAAAAACAGUGUUUUCUUGAGGAAACAAAGCAUGAU